rnacentral:rRNA from 1 species
UACGUAGGGCGCAAGCGUUGUCCGGAUUUAUUGGGCGUAAAGAGCUCGUAGGUGGUCUGUUACGUCUGCUGUGAAAACCCAGGGCUUAACCCUGGGCCUGCAGUGGAUACGGGCAGACUAGAGGUAGGUAGGGGAGAAUGGAAUUCCCGGUGUAGCGGUGAAAUGCGCAGAUAUCGGGAGGAACACCGGUGGCGAAGGCGGUUCUCUGGGCCUUACCUGACACUGAGGAGCGAAAGCGUGGGGAGCGAACAGG